GUCUGGCUGGGUCAGUUGGUAGAGCAUGUGACUUUCAAUCCUAGGGUUGUGAGUUCAAGCCCCACGCUGGGCA
rnacentral:tRNA from 1 species